AGCCGAAACAGCGCCGCAAAUGCAGAGCGGCGGCUGUCUUACAGGGAUUACCUCCUGUAACUGAUGAUGGCAGGUUAAA
rnacentral:hammerhead_ribozyme from 1 species